rnacentral:lncRNA from 1 species
GUAAAUAUAAACCCCAAAACAUAGGCAAACCAAACCUUCGGGUAAUUAAAUCCACCGCUUAUAAUACUAGAGGUAUGUAUUUACAUGCCUUAUGGGUAACAUGAAAUACGAAGCUAACGGGGAUGGUAAUAGAACACUUCUCACUACACACUAAACCCAAAUUAGGGAAAUAUAAAAUGUAAUACAUAGGCAACCCAAACCUACAACAAAUUAAAUCCACCUGCCAUAAUACAUGAGUCAUCUAUUUCCCCAACCCUACAACAAAUUAAACCCCCCUGCCAUAAUACAUGAGUCAUCUAUUUACAUUCCUCAAGAGACAUGAAAUAUGCAAUGGGUUAAGACAUAGUAUAAUACAUAGUAUAGUAUAUAAAUAGUAUGGUAUAUAAAUAGCAACGCCUACACAUCAGAUAUGAACCCUUCUCCCCAAAUUGGUUUUCCCACGAAAGCUAAGCUUAUGUAGCAUAACAAAUUGGUUUUCCCACGAAAAGUCACCAGAGUUCGAAGUCCUUCUCAAGAAUCAACUGUCGUGCAAGAAAAUAAUGAAGAAGCAUAACAGAGAAGGUAUAGGACCCCAUCUGCAAGACUUGUCCAAACUGUGAUGCAUUCAACAUCGCCAGGUCCUCAUCCUCUAAUGCAUUUUUUAUCACUUCAGUCCAACGAAGAUUGAAUUAGUUGUUAAUUCUUUUCUUGCCAGUGGAUUCAAAGCAUGUCUCUAACAAUCUACAUAGAAGGCCUAACUCGUUCAUACCAAACCUGUAGAAUGAAAUAAGAGGUGGGAAUUAUAAUAUUAAAUAUAGAAAUGAGGUAGCACUCAAAAUAGAAUAAGUAUAGUUAUCAGAUGGAAAUGAAUAAGAUAUAAAACUAUGAUUUCAUAUAAGAUAGAAUAAUGUGAAAGUAUAACUUUCUUAUAUUCCAUGUGACAGAUACUAUUCCACAAAAUAAUCAUUAUUCCACAAUAAGUGUGCUAUAUACAUAUAAACAUAAUAAGUGCGCUAUAUACAUAUGUGGACUCAGCUCGUGCAGAUACUAUUCUACAAAAUAAUCACU